ensembl:lncRNA
GUGUUUGGAACGCGGAAUGUUGGUGACGUCACUGCUGCUCCUGCUGCUGAUGUCAUCAUCACGCUUAACUGAGGCUCCUCCGUCAGAGCGGAUCAUUCUGCUGCAGGUCAGGAGAGAGAGAGACGGUCAGAUCUGCAGGAACAGAGGAGCUGAUGGACGAUUUAACACAGUCUGACAAGGAGGAAGUAGACCUUUCACCUCUAAUGCAGAAACCAGAGGGCACAAAACUGUUUGUCCCUGCAGGAUGUUUAGUGCAGUGCUCCCGGAGUAAAGUGGGAGAGGCUCUCUAUCAAGCUUCACCAGAGUUCAACCUGAAACUGAACCCUCGGAGCUACAACAGCCUGCACGAUAUACACCUGAGGAAGUUUUUCAACAAACCGGCGAGGAAGAAGCUUCUUAUUGACAGGGGCUUGAUUACUGAGGAUGGACAAGUGCUGUGCUCCAUUAGGGAGUUCAAUCAGUACAUAGACUAUCUAAAGACUGUCAACUCAGAAAGGGACAAGGCUCUUCAACAACAGGAAACACCAGAAAUCACCCAGACAAACCCGGAGGAGGAGAAAAAGGAGCAGCGCGUUAAACCAGGCUCAGACAUUCAGACACACACAUUAGAUUCAUCUGUACUUACUGUUCAACCUGAUGAUAACUGUGUGAACAAUUUGAGUCUGGAUUUAUUACAGAGCUCUGAGGAGCUGAAGCUGAUAGAUCUGGAGGAGGAACAGCAGGAGGAGAGCAUUCAGAACAAGGCCGAUGCUUCAGUUGAAAUGUCCAUCAAGAAACAAAUUAACAUUUCGGGGCUAAUGGAGAAACCAAGAGGCACAAAACUGUUUGUGCCUGAUGGGUGUUCCAUGCAGUACUCCAGGGGUAAAGUUGGAGAGAGUCUCUAUCAGAGAGACCCUAACAUGCAACAGGACCACUGGACAGACAACAACCUGCAUGAUAAACACCUGAAAAAGUUCUUCAACAAGCCUGGGAGAAGGAAGCAGCUCAUUAAACAGGGCUUAAUUACUGAGGAUGGAUAUGUGCUGUGCUCCCGUAAGGAGUUUCACCAGUAUGUCGACUACCAGAAGUCCAUCAAACCAAAACAGAAUGAGCUGCUUGUUCCAGACGUGAGGGUGUCUCUACCACCUGUGGAGGAAGUUGAUACCUGCAGUCCCAGGUUGGAGGUCACCUCACCUGAGACAACAGAAAAACCUUCAAAGGAUGACAUCCCAGCUGGUGAGUAACAGAAAACGCUAAAUCAGUAUUUCCUGAUCACUGCCAGGGGGUGGCAACUGUCCCCUCCAGUCCCCUCCAUGGCUAAAAGCAUCACUAAAGUUCCCCCUAGAGUGGCAAAAAGAGACAAAGUGCCAUUUUGACUGUCCUUCUUGUGUUAAGUGACCACUAGAG